rnacentral:lncRNA from 1 species
ACCUGUUCACCAUGUAGAAACCAUCAAAGUGAGCCCAAUUCGAUCUCGAACAAAUUCAAUUCAACGAAAUCGAUCAAUCUUUGAGCAUAUGUUUCUCUCAGGCAUUUGAACAAACACUUGCAAGGGUGUUUGUUGGACCUAAAAUUCGAACAAAAAGCUCAAAUCUUUCCACCUAAUUUGGAUCAAAAUUAUUCAAAAACUCAAUAAUCAAGCUCAAUUUGAUGAACCCAGAACGGAUCAACCAAAAUCUUUAAAGAAUUAUGAGAAUUUCGGGUAGAAACAAAAAGGAAAAAACAGGGGAAACGACGAUCACGAGCCGUGCAUGAAGAGAAAAAUAAAGAAAAUGAUGAGACAAAGACAAAAAGAUCGAAAAUGUUUAAUAUUUUAAAGCAAUUCAACCACCCAUCACCAUCUUGACAACCUGUUUUGAUCUACAAGAUUGUUCCAAACUUUUGUAUGAAUUUAAAAUGA